rnacentral:rRNA from 1 species
UACAGAGGUCUCAAGCGUUGUUCGGAUUCAUUGGGCGUAAAGGGCGCGUAGGCGGCGGGGUAAGUCGGGUGUGAAAUCUCAGAGCUCAACUCUGAAAUGGCACUUGAUACUGCUCUGCUAGAGGACUGGAGAGGAGAUUGGAAUUCACGGUGUAGCAGUGAAAUGCGUAGAUAUCGUAAGGAAGACCAGUGGCGAAGGCGGGUCUCUGGACAGUUCCUGACGCUGAGGCACGAAGGUCAGGGGGGAGCAAACGGG